UACGGAGGGUGCAAGCGUUAAUCGGAAUUACUGGGCGUAAAGCGCACGCAGGUGGCUGAGUCAGUCGAUUGUGAAAGCCCUGGGCUUAACCUGGGAAUUGCAGUCGAUACUACUCAGCUAGAGUAUGGGAGAGGGUAGUGGAAUUCCCGGUGUAGCGGUGAAAUGCGUAGAUAUCGGGGAGGAACAUCAGUGGCGAAGGCGGCUACCUGGCCCAAUACUGACACUCAGGUGCGACGAGCGUGGGGAGCAAACAGG
rnacentral:rRNA from 1 species